ACCGGCGGCUCGAGUGGUAACCGUUUUUAUUGGGUCUAAAGGGUCUGUAGCCGGCCGGAUAAGUCUCUUGGGAAAUCCCGCAGCUUAACUGUUGGGCUUUCCGGAGAUACUGUCAGGCUCGAGGUCGGGAGAGGUGAGAGGUACUUCAGGGGUAGGGGUGAAAUCUUGUAAUCCUGGAAGGACCACCAGUGGCGAAGGCGUCUCACCAGAACGAACCUGACGGUAAGGGACGAAAGCGAGGGGCACGAACCG
rnacentral:rRNA from 1 species